GACGAACGCUGGCGGCGUGCCUAACACAUGCAAGUCGAGCGAGUGGAGUUCUUAGGAACAAAGCUAGCGGCGGACGGCUGAGUAACACGUUGGCAACCUGCCUCAUAGAGGGCAAUAGCCUCCCGAAAGGGAGAUUAAUACCGCAUAAGAUUGUAGAUUCGCAUGAAGUAGCAAUUAAAGGAGCAAUCCGCUAUGAGAUGGGCCCGCGGCGCAGUAGCUAGUUGGUGAGGUAACGGCUGACCAAGGUGACGCGGCGUAGCCGACCUGAGAGCGUGAUCGGCGAAAUGUGGACUGAGAGACGGCCGAGACUCCUCCCGGAGGCAGUAGUGGGGAAUAUUGCACAAUGCGGGAAACCCUGAUGCAGCAACGCCGCGUGAGUGAUGACGGCCUUUGGGUUGUAAAUCUCUGUCUUCAGGGACGAUAAUGUCGGUACCUGACGAGGAAGCCACGGCUAACUACGUGCCAGCAGCCGCAGUAACAC
rnacentral:rRNA from 1 species